GAUGAACGCUGGCGUCGUGCCUAAUACAUGCAAGUCGAGCGAACAGACGAGGAGCUUGCUCCUUCGACGUUAGCGGCGGACGGGUGAGUAACACGUAGAUAACCUACCUAUAAGACUGGGAUAACUUCGGGAAACCGGAGCUAAUACCGGAUAAUAUUUCGAACCGCAUGGUUCGAUAGUGAAAGAUGGCUUUGCUAUCACUUAUAGAUGGACCUGCGCCGUAUUAGCUAGUUGGUAAGGUAACGGCUUACCAAGGCAACGAUACGUAGCCGACCUGAGAGGGUGAUCGGCCACACUGGAACUGAGACACGGUCCAGACUCCUACGGGAGGCAGCAGUAGGGAAUCUUCCGCAAUGGGCGAAAGCCUGACGGAGCAACGCCGCGUGAGUGAUGAAGGUCUUCGGAUCGUAAAACUCUGUUAUUAGGGAAGAACAAACGUGUAAGUAACUGUGCACGUCUUGACGGUACCUAAUCAGAAAGCCACGGCUAACUACGUG
rnacentral:rRNA from 1 species